ACGCUUCUUUUCUACCGAGUGCUUGCACUCACUUGAAAAGAGGAGAGGCGGACGGGUGAGUAACACGUGGGUAACCUGCCCAUCAGAGGGGGAUAACACUUGGAAACAGGUGCUAAUACCGCAUAAUAGUCGACACCGCAUGGUGUUGAUUUGAAAGACGCUUUCGGGUGUCACUGAUGGAUGGACCCGCGGUGCAUUAGCUAGUUGGUGAGGUAACGGCUCACCAAGGCGAUGAUGCAUAGCCGACCUGAGAGGGUGAUCGGCCACACUGGGACUGAGACACGGCCCAGACUCCUACGGGAGGCAGCAGUAGGGAAUCUUCGGCAAUGGACGAAAGUCUGACCGAGCAACGCCGCGUGAGUGAAGAAGGUUUUCGGAUCGUAAAACUCUGUUGUUAGAGAAGAAUAAGUAGGAGAGUAACUGCUCUUACCUUGACGGUAUCUAACCAGAAAGCCCACGGCUAACUACGUGCCAGCAGCCGCGGUAAUACGUAGGUGGCAAGCGUUGUCCGGAUUUUAUUGGGGCGUAAAGCGAGCGCAUGCGGUUUCUUAAGUCUGAUGUGAAAGCCCCCGGCUCAACCGGGGAGGGUCAUUGGAAACUGGGAGACUUGAGUUGCAGAAGAAGGAAAGUGGAA
rnacentral:rRNA from 1 species